rnacentral:rRNA from 1 species
UACGUAGGGUGCAAGCGUUGUCCGGAUUUAUUGGGCGUAAAGAGCUCGUAGGCGGUUUGUCGCGUCGGAUGUGAAAACCCAGGGCUCAACCCUGGGCCUGCAUUCGAUACGGGCAGACUAGAGUAUGGCAGGGGAGGCUGGAAUUCCUGGUGUAGCGGUGAAAUGCGCAGAUAUCAGGAGGAACACCGGUGGCGAAGGCGGGUCUCUGGGCCAAAACUGACGCUGAGGCGCGACAGCGUGGGGAGCAAACAGG